GCCUACGGCCAUACCACCCUGAGAACGCCCGAUCUCGUCUGAUCUCGGAGCUAAGCAGGGUCGGCCCGGUUAGUACUGGAUGGAGACCGCCUGGGAAUACCGGGUGCUGUAGGCU
rnacentral:rRNA from 1 species